UACGAAGGGGGCUAGCGUUGCUCGGAAUCACUGGGCGUAAAGGGCGCGUAGGCGGCCAUUCAAGUCGGGGGUGAAAGCCUGUGGCUCAACCACAGAAUUGCCUUCGAUACUGUUUGGCUUGAGUAUGGUAGAGGUUGGUGGAACUGCGAGUGUAGAGGUGAAAUUCGUAGAUAUUCGCGAAGAACACCCGGUGGCGAAGGCGGCCAACUGGACCAUUACUGGACGCUGAGGCGCGAAAGCGUGGGAGCAAACAGG
rnacentral:rRNA from 1 species